CCUACGGGUGGCAGCAGUAGGGAAUAUUGCUCAAUGGCGGAAACCCUGCAGCAGCAACGCCGCGUGGAGGAAGAAGGUUUUCGGAUUGUAAACUCCUUUUGUUAGAGAAGAUAAUGACGGUAUCUAACGAAUAAGUACCUGCUAACUCCGUGCCAGCAGCCGCAGUAAUACCGCGGGUGCAAGCGUUACUCUGAAUCACUGGGCGUAAAGAGCGCGUAGGCGGGAUAGCAAGUCAGAUGUGAAAUCCUAUGGGUUAACCAUAGAAGUGCAUUUGAAACUGUUAUUCUAGAGUAUGGGAGAGGUAGGUGGAAUUCUUGGUGUAGGGGUAAAAUCCGUAGAGAUCAAGAGGAAUACUCAUUGCGAAGGCGACCUGCUAGAACAUAACUGACGCUGAUGCGCGAAAGCGUGGGGAGCAAACAGGAUUAGAUACCCGAGUAGUC
rnacentral:rRNA from 1 species